rnacentral:rRNA from 1 species
UACGAAGGGGGCGAGCGUUGUUCGGAAUUACUGGGCGUAAAGGGCGCGUAGGCGGUGCACCAAGUCAGGCGUGAAAGCCCCCGGCUCAACUGGGGAGGGUCACUCGAUACUGAUCGACUCGAAGGCAGAAGAGGGAAGCGGAAUUCCCGGUGUAGUGGUGAAAUUCGUAGAUAUCGGGAGGAACACCGGUGGCGAAGGCGGCGACCUGGGUAGAUACUGACGCUGAGGUGCGAAAGCGUGGGGAGCAAACAGG